rnacentral:tRNA from 1 species
GGGAUUGUGGCUCAGGGGUACAGCACUUGCCUAGCAAGUGCAGGACCCUGAGCUCAAUCCUCAGCAGCACA